rnacentral:rRNA from 1 species
UACAGGGGGUGCAACCGUUGCUCGGAAUCAUUGGGCGUAAAGCGCACGUAGGCGGUCUGUUAUGUCGGAUGUGAAAGCCCUUGGCUCAACUGAGGAAGUGCAUCCGAAACUGGCAGGCUAGAGUACUAAAGAGGAUCGCGGAAUUCCCGGUGUAGAGGUGAAAUGCGUAGAGACCGGGAAGAACACCAGUGGCGAAGGCGGCUACCUGGACAGGUACUGACGCUGAAGCGCGAAAGCUAGGGGAGCAAACAGG